rnacentral:rRNA from 1 species
GGGUUGUGAGGUUAAGCGACUAAGCGUACACGGUGGAUGCCCUGGCAGUCAGAGGCGAUGAAGGACGUGCUAAUCUGCGAUAAGCGUCGGUAAGGUGAUAUGAACCGUUAUAACCGGCGAUUUCCGAAUGGGGAAACCCAGUGUGUUUCGACACACUAUCAUUAACUGAAUCCAUAGGUUAAUGAGGCGAACCGGGGGAACUGAAACAUCUAAGUACCCCGAGGAAAAGAAAUCAACCGAGAUUCCCCCAGUAGCGGCGAGCGAACGGGGAGCAGCCCAGAGCCUGAAUCAGUGUGUGUGUUAGUGGAAGCGUCUGGAAAGGCGCGCGAUACAGGGUGACAGCCCCGUACACAAAAAUGCACAUGCUGUGAGCUCGAUGAGUAGGGCGGGACACGUGGUAUCCUGUCUGAAUAUGGGGGGACCAUCCUCCAAGGCUAAAUACUCCUGACUGACCGAUAGUGAACCAGUACCGUGAGGGAAAGGCGAAAAGAACCCCGGCGAGGGGAGUGAAAAAGAACCUGAAACCGUGUACGUACAAGCAGUGGGAGCACGCUUAGGCGUGUGACUGCGUACCUUUUGUAUAAUGGGUCAGCGACUUAUAUUCUGUAGCAAGGUUAACCGAAUAGGGGAGCCGAAGGGAAACCGAGUCUUAACUGGGCGUUAAGUUGCAGGGUAUAGACCCGAAACCCGGUGAUCUAGCCAUGGGCAGGUUGAAGGUUGGGUAACACUAACUGGAGGACCGAACCGACUAAUGUUGAAAAAUUAGCGGAUGACUUGUGGCUGGGGGUGAAAGGCCAAUCAAACCGGGAGAUAGCUGGUUCUCCCCGAAAGCUAUUUAGGUAGCGCCUCGUGAAUUCAUCUCCGGGGGUAGAGCACUGUUUCGGCAAGGGGGUCAUCCCGACUUACCAACCCGAUGCAAACUGCGAAUACCGGAGAAUGUUA